rnacentral:lncRNA from 1 species
ACUGGAUUUAAAAUCUUUCCCAGAAAGGUGUUUAUCUCGUAUCUGUUUUCAUGGAACACUUGCUUGAACCAUGCUAAAGACACACAAUCCUACUGAUGGACAGCUGUCGUGUUUGAAAUGAGAGGUACACUCCAUAGAUUAUGUAUUUGGACACUUGUUUCCCAGUUGGUUGUGUUUAGAGAGGCUAUGAAUCUGUUAGGAGGUGUGACUCUGUUAAAGGAUGCCACACAGGGUGGUCAAUGAGAAUUUAGAGCCUUACUGAACUUCCAGUUCACUCUUCUGCUUCCCACAUGUGACUGGAGAGUGACAUCUCAGCUUGCUGUUCUGGACACCUGCCACCAUGCCUCCUGUAAUUGGUUGAUCUGAUGCUGUCUGCAAUCCUCAAGUGUGCAGUCCAAUUCCCAACAAUGGUUCAGUAGUAGCUGUGAAUGGAAGUCCAAGCAUCUAGCAGUUACUCAGUCCCACACGGCAAGCAAACAAGGAGCAAAAGCGAGACUCCCUUCUUCCAAUGUCCUUAUAUUGUCACCAGCAGAAGGUGUAGCCAAGAUUAAAGGUACGCAGAGUCACAUCCAGCUUUUCUGGGAACCCAAACUCAAGACCUCAUGAUGAGCAUCAAAGAAGGCCCAUUCAGCCCAAGCUACAUAGUAGAAUCCUUAAAAAAAAAAAAAAAACCAACCAACAAUAAUAAAUAAUGCUUGCCUUCCACUCU